UGUUGGAAAAUCUCGUGGAUUCUUGGACAUCAUUAUACCUCGUGGUAGCAGAAAGUCUGACCUGGAGGCUGAUGUGAGUGCUUCUGAUAAUCAUGAUGAGCAGUCUCCACCAAAUGUAGGGAUCAUGGACCAAGAAUCCAAUGAAUUCCGCCGGUUUGAGACUCUGAGAAAGGAGUUAAUGGAACUUGAGAAACGCGUUGAAAUUAGUACAUAUCAAUAAGAAAAUAACGAGGAUUUAGUAGUCAUUGAUGAUGGUGCUCGUUAUAGUGAUGCUGCUGGAUCUUUUCAGUUGUCCAGGGUUCAGAAGAAGGAAAAUAUCAUAGAGAAAUCUUUAGGCAAAUUAAAAGAAACAGGAAC